rnacentral:rRNA from 1 species
GACGAACGCUGGCGGCGUGCCUAAUACAUGCAAGUCGAACGCAGUGGGGACGGGUGAGUAACACGUGGGUAACCUCCCAUCAGAGGGGAUAACACUUGGAAACAGGUGCUAAACCGAUACUGAUGGAUGGACCCGCGGGGCAUUAGCUAGUUGGUGAGGUAACGGCUCACCAAGGCCCCGAUGCAUAGCCGACCUGAUAGGGUGAUCGGCCGCACUGGGACAGAGACACGGCCCAGACUCCUACGGAAGGCAGCGUUAGGGAAGCGUCGGCAAUGGACGAAAGUCUGACCGGUCAACGCCGCGUAAGUGAAGAAGGUUUUCGGUUCGUAAAACUCUGUUGUUAGAGAAGCGGUAUCUAACCAGAAAGCCACGGCUAACUACGUGCCAGCCGCCGCGGUAAUAC